GUACAUUUUGGGCCAUAAAUUAG
rnacentral:siRNA from 1 species